AGAGUUUGAUCAUGGCUCAGAUUGAACGCUGGCGGCAGGCCUAACACAUGCAAGUCGAACGGUAACAGAAAGCAGCUUGCUGCUUUGCUGACGAGUGGCGGACGGGUGAGUAAUGUCUGGGAAACUGCCUGAUGGAGGGGGAUAACUACUGGAAACGGUAGCUAAUACCGCAUAACGUCGCAAGACCAAAGAGGGGGACCUUCGGGCCUCUUGCCAUCGGAUGUGCCCAGAUGGGAUUAGCUAGUAGGUGGGGUAAAGGCUCACCUAGGCGACGAUCCCUAGCUGGUCUGAGAGGAUGACCAGCCACACUGGAACUGAGACACGGUCCAGACUCCUACGGGAGGCAGCAGUGGGGAAUAUUGCACAAUGGGCGCAAGCCUGAUGCAGCCAUGCCGCGUGUAUGAAGAAGGCCUUCGGGUUGUAAAGUACUUUCAGCGGGGAGGAAGGGAGUAAAGUUAAUACCUUUGCUCAUUGACGUUACCCGCAGAAGAAGCACCGGCUAACUCCGUGCCAGCAGCCGCGGUAAUACGGAGGGUGCAAGCGUUAAUCGGAAUUACUGGGCGUAAAGCGCACGCAGGCGGUUUGUUAAGUCAGAUGUGAAAUCCCCGGGCUCAACCUGGGAACUGCAUCUGAUACUGGCAAGCUUGAGUCUCGUAGAGGGGGGUAGAAUUCCAGGUGUAGCGGUGAAAUGCGUAGAGAUCUGGAGGAAUACCGGUGGCGAAGGCGGCCCCCUGGACGAAGACUGACGCUCAGGUGCGAAAGUGUGGGGAGCAAACAGGAUUAGAUACCCUGGUAGUCCA
rnacentral:rRNA from 1 species